GCCCGGCUUGCUCAGUUGGUAGAGCAUGAGGCUCUUAAUCUCAGGGUCGUGGGUUCGAGCCCCGCGAUGGGCG
rnacentral:tRNA from 1 species